rnacentral:rRNA from 1 species
AUGGUGAGCCGCGAAUAGCUCAUUACAACAGCCACUGUUUAUUAGAAUAUCGUUUUCCUACUUGGAUAACUGUGGCAAUUCUAGAGCUAAUACAUGCAAAAAAGCUCCGCCCGCAAGGAACGAGCGCAUUUAUUAGAAUAAAAACCAAUCGGGCUUCGGCCCGUCUUUUGGUGAAUCUGAAUAACUUUGCCAAUCGCACAGUCCUAGUACUGGCGAUGUAUCUUUCAAGUGUCUGCCUUAUCAACUUUCGAUGGUAGGUUAUACGCCUACCAUGGUAGUAACGGGUAACGGAGAAUAAGGGUUCGACUCCGGAGAGGGAGCCUGAGAAACGGCUACCACAUCCAAGGAAGGCAGCAGGCGCGCAAAUUACCCACUUCCAGAACGGAGAGGUAGUGACGAAAAAUAACGAGACAGUCCUCUUCGAGGUCUGUCAUCGGAAUGGGUACAAUUUAAAUCCUUUAACGAGGAUCUAUUGGAGGGCAAGUCUGGUGCCAGCAGCCGCGGUAAUUCCAGCUCCAAUAGCGUAUAUUAAAGUUGUUGCGGUUAAAACGCUCGUAGUUGGAUCUGCGGCCGCGGAGGAUGGUCCCCCGAAAGGGUGGUCACUGUCUCUCCUAGCCUAAAUUCGAGUCGUCUCUAGGUGCUCUUUACCGAGUGCUUAGAGUGACUAGAACGUUUACUUUGAAAAAAUUAGAGUGCUUAAAGCAGGCGAAAUAGCCUGAAUAAGGUGCAUGGAAUAAUGGAAUAGGACCUCGGUUCUAUUUUGUUGGUUUUCGGAGCCUGAGGUAAUGAUUAAGAGGAACAGACGGGGGCAUUCGUAUUCCGGCGCUAGAGG